rnacentral:rRNA from 1 species
UACGGGGGGUGCAAGCGUUAUCCGGAUUUAUUGGGUUUAAAGGGUGCGUAGGCUGUGAGGUAAGUCAGCGGUGAAAUGCCCCCGCUCAACGGGGUGAAGUGCCAUUGAUACUGCCUUGCUGGAAUGCGGAUGCCGUGGGAGGAAUGUGUGGUGUAGCGGUGAAAUGCAUAGAUAUCACACAGAACACCGAUUGCGAAGGCAUCUCACGAAUCCGCUAUUGACGCUGAUGCACGAAAGCGUGGGUAUCAAACAGG